UGCUGUCUCUCACAAAUGAACAGUAACUAAUAGCUUUGGGAAUUUGCUGUUGAGUAUUCACUGACAUAAAUUUUGCUAUAAAAUAGUAUUAGGAGUAUUCAUCUUAGCCAUUGUAGGGAAAUUCUUCUUCUCAUUUUGGCAGGCUGUGUACUUACUGAGAAUAUCUUCCAUCCUGGAAAGACAUGAACAUGGCUUUCAAGAGCUACAAAUACUUGGCAAAAUCCUGUUACUUGGCUAGGGCACAAAAGAAGGGAGCGGCAUGAAUCACUCUGUGCCUGUAAUCUCUCAGGGUAACGCUUCAAACACACAAACAUGAAUUCACUAUUUUAGAGCACUCCACAGCAGGACCGUGUUGUAAGCAAUCCUUUGUCAAAGAUGAUUAUUACAUCACAGACUGUGUACUUGUGUGACACCCAUGCAUGGAUGGACAGGCACAGGGCUCAUGCCAGGGUAACUAUGAUGAAUACAAACUUCACCAAUGAAGAUGACUUGUGUUGUCUUCCAAGAAGCAUCCAAGCAGCAUCUUCACUACAUUCUUCCCAGCUGUGGUAGUAGGUCCCCAGCCUGGAAAAUCACACCACACAGACUGCAAGACCUCCAGAAGCAAAGCACUCCUCACAGAACUCACAGAAAAAGGUCAGAGGGCAGUGCAACCUACUUCUGGAAACACCCCCUAGAAAAGCCUAGGGAAGCAAGACCAUUUACAACAAUAUACAAUUCCUGGCAAACUUGUUUGUUGACCCCAGACCAUUUUCAUCUGCAAGUCAGAGUAGUAAGGCAUGUCUGGCCACAUGAGGAGUGAUGGAGUAACAGUAUUUGUGCUGUGCUGAUCAUUAAAAAUUAAAAUAACGCCAAGAUGAUGGAGAACUAAGGGGUUCAGCAAGAACCCCUCACCUUGCAGGAGCUCUAAAUUAAGAGACACAGGGAAAACAAACAAGCAAACGAACGAAACAGCCAAAACAGGUAGGAACAUGAGAAUUAAAGGCACGGCCAGCUGCAUAGCAGCCCCAAAUCCCUGAAAGGACGAUACGAAUUGCCAGUAAUACUGCGGCCUGAGCACCCUCUGGUGGCCCAGAAAGAACAGCUCCAGAGAUGAAAACGCGGUCCCGCAAGGGCAGGAACGCGGGAGAACGCGGCGUCUCACCGACCUUGUUCGGACAAUUGAUCACUGUUCGCACGUCUUCACUGGAAGACAGGAGAACAACUAAACAUUCAAAACCAGUUUAAUUAUUUAUCUUCAUGCAUUUUGUUCCUAGCAUUUGCUUAAUUUUCAUGUCAUCUGACUGGUUAAGAACUUGUGUUAAUUUAAAACUAUUUUAGUACAAUAAUUUUCUUUGGAAUGUGAUAUUAGAAUCAAAUUUAAAAAAAAGACAGUAUAACAAUAUUGGGAGGGAAAUAUGGAGGAAAAAGAAGUAAAUUUUGAAGUGCUUUUCAAUAUAUUGAUGCCAUCAAAGUAUAUUUUAAUUUAAUUGCAGAACAUACUGAAGUUACUUGGUUUCCAUGCAAGGCUAUUCACUGUUUUGCACUUGUAUUUAACCUGGAAAAAUAGUGGAGAGUGAUCUAAUCUGUCGUGUUCAUACACCACAGCUUUAUAGUUCCAUAUUUUUCAGGAAAAAAUUAAACUAAAUUUUACAUAUGGGAGUAUUUUUACCUAUGUACAGAAUGUUUCAUGUUUUACUCUUUUCUGCAAUUAUUUGACUUACAGUCUGUUAUCAGUUGGGUUCACUGUUCAAGAAAUGUAAAAACAGUGUACUGUUUGUCCUGGUUUCAGCCAGGGUAGAGUUAAUUUCUUCUCAGUAGCUGUGACAGUGCUGUGUUUUGGAUUCCAAAUGAGAAUGGUGUUGAUAAUACACUGAUGUUUUGGCUUUUUGCUAAGUCCUGUUUAUCCUAAGCCAAAGACUUUUUUUUCCCUUGUCUCGUGCUCUGCCAGUGAGGAGAUAAAAAUAAACAAACUGGGAGGGAGCAUACUGGAACAGGUAACCCAAAGUGCCCAAAGGGGUACCCCACAUCACAG